GUGGCUGUAGUUCAGUUGGUAGAGCACAGGAUUGUGGUUCCUGGGGUCGCGGGUUCAAGCCCCGUCAGCCACC
rnacentral:tRNA from 1 species